UGUAUCUCAGAGUGCAUUGGUUCACGUAUGAUUGACUAGUUUGUUGUGAGAGAGUUUAUGGUGUGUGUGUUUGUUGAUGUGAUGAUGUGUGUUGUACGUGUGGGUGGGUGUAUGUGUCUGUGUUUGUGUGAGUUUGUAUGCGUGUGGUGCGGUUGGAGUGUGCGGGGUCCGGUUUUCCGCCCGGGGUACGUCUGCCUGGAUGGUCUCGUUUAUGCUGACCCCCACCAAUUGCUGGCCUUGUGCUGCAGGCCGGUGUGGUGCCAGGGGACGAGGUCGGGCCGAUGGGGUAGGCCCCGCUCCGCUCGUGUAGGGGUGGUGGACUGGGGGCGGGCCCCACUCUGGGCACGGGGGCAUCUCCUGGCGGGCUCCCUACAGACUGUGGGUCCUCAGGCUCCACUCUUUCAGGCCGACCCUCCCACCGGGGGGAAUGUUUGCCCUUGGUUCUCAUGGGGCGGACAGCGUUGACCCACGGUGGCCCACUCUGACCUCGGGUGCUGUCUCUGUGGCUGCUGCAGCUCUGCCUGGGGGGCUCUGUGUGGAAGGCUUGGGUCGCAACACCUGCCCUCCUGGAACUGAAGGUGUGUGGGCUCCCCCACUGCUAGGUUUCUUUCCUCUGCUUGUUGGAUGUGCGUAGUGGCCGAGCCCCUCACAUCACCCUGGCUUCCACAAGUGGCAUUGGUUAUGCACCAACGUUAAGCACCCUUUGGGUGAAUAAUAUUAAGCUACAGCCUUACUAACCUUGUAGUGGGACACUCAACACCUGAACAGGCUUUCCAAAUCCAACUGUAAGUAUUACUGAUACUUAUCACUACCACUAUCAAUAUUAUGUGAAUAUGGAAAUUGUGGUGCUGUAUGUCAUGACUUUGAUUAAGUAGUAUGGGAUAUGUAUAACAAUGCAUAUCUGUAUGUAUAUGUUUGUAUGAGUAUAUGUACAUACCUUAAAGCUCCCUGAUCAUACAGCUUUUCACUCUAAAGAAUAUUGGACUUUAAUGUCUCAGUAAGGUCUCUGUAAAUUUUCAUUCCAUAAAACUCUUUAGAUCGUCCACACUGCCCCUGUCAAUAUGUGGUUCUCACUCCCCAUCAGCAAACGCUGUGUUUUCUGGGCGUGUCGCAAGCGAAGCUGCUCGCCACACCUCUGUGCGGAAGCGCAUACCUUUUUUGUUGUUGUUGUUUUUUGGCUCCAUGGAUACGAGCCACCGCACGGUUAGGAUACUAUAGGUGGCAGUAGUGCGACGUUGAGAAUACAAUCCACCGCCAUCCUCCACAGAAGAAGAAGACCCACUACAGGACUGCACGACGUUAGCCAGCCAGCUAGUUCGUAGCGUAGUAGAACCAUACGUCUACGAUCCCGAAUCUAACCCUGAAGCUGAAGAGGAGGCUGUUGAAGUCGCCACAUUUCGGCUGAUGCAAGAUGUGUCUCAUUGUUGUUACAGGUAUCUAAUCUACAGAGGCUAGUGAGCUGGUGCUGAGGAUUCCUGGGGUGAAGAAUCUGAGUUGCCAUCUCUUCAUGCUUGGGUUGUAGAUGAAGGCAGAGUUUCCUGAUGGAUAAAACACUAAAACACUCAUUGUAUGAUGGAUGUAAACCACCUGUGGAAUAACUCCUUUACCAUUUCAGUAAAAAUGUGUUUUUUGUGAGUGCAAUACUCAAAGAAUUUUUUUAUUUAUAUAUAAUUUAUAUGCUUUUUAUUUAUGGCCGCUUCAACUUUAUAGCUUACCAUAUUAGAAAGAGAAAAAACAUGUAAUUUCAAUACUAUGAUUUCCUGAAUAAAAGUGUUUUCCCUUCAGAAA